CAGAGAUCUGCAUGUCUCUGCCUCCCGAGUACUGGGAUUAAAGGCCAAUCCAGCUUCUUCAUUCGUUAACCAACAAAAACAACACAUAUACAGGACUUUCCACACUACCACUUGUCCCUUCUGCCCGAGGGAUCCAGAUGCAAAAUUCUCAGCUCCCACUUCAGCGCCAUGACUGUCUGUGUUGUGUUCUGCCGUGAUAAUCAUGGAUUAACUCUCUGAAGCUGUAAGCAAGCCCCCAGUUAAAUGCCUUCUUUUAUAAGAGUUGCCUUCGUCAUGGUGUCUCUUCUUAACAAUAGAAUGGUGACUAAGACAAAAGUCUUAGAGUGAGAGACAAGUACACAGGACAAGGCCAAAUAGAAAGAUAGUAUGUUUUCAUAAAUAUGGCUUCCGGUGAUAACUUCUACAUAAUGGAGAAAAGACUCUGACGUGGUCCAGCUUUCCUCAAGGAAAUUUCAUUACAGCCCUGGAACAAUGAACCAGAGCUUUUCUGUGUAUUCAGACUGGCCCUGAACUUUUGAUCAUCCUGCCUUGGCCUCCAAAGUCUUGGAACCCAAAACUGACACUGCUUGAAUGACCCAGAACCUGAGACUAAAUAGCCCUGGGACAUAGGGUGAAACUCUACUAGUUCAAAUCAAACGGCUGCUGAUGGCUUCCUGCUGUACUCACAGAUCAGGGCCUUGCUCAGCCAUCAUCAGAGAAAUGUCCUCUCGCAGCAUGGAAACAAACACAGAGACCUACAGCCAGACAUGCCCAGCGGUAGAUGACCAACACAAAAGAACUCAAUGACGUUUUUGGAGAUUGUUUAUCUCAUUAUGCUUUAUCAGGACUUUUAAAUAUAUAUUAGUGGUCCCUUAUGUGUGUAUUAUGGCUUCCGGAUUUGUGUUUUUAUGGGAUUCCUGUUUGUACAAACAUGUAUAUCUCUGUGUCUAUAUGUGUGUGAUUUCUUUGGCUCUUUUUCUUCUGUUUGUUUGUUUGGCUUGUUAUAUUUUUGUUUAUUUUUAUUUUAUCUUAGAGAGACAGAGAGACAGAGAGACCCAGUCUUAUUGGACGCACUUGUAAUCUGGAUAGGUAGAAAGAGGUAGGUUCCGGGAUUCAUUAUUUAGCCAGCUAACCUAAUCUGCUUGAUAAGCAAGGCCAGUAAGAGAGUCUGUCUCUAAAAUAAAAUAAGCAGAGUACCUAGGAGACAGCACACUAGGUUGUCCCCUGGCCUCCACACACACAGACAUUUAAAUGCAUUUACACAUGCACACAGACAAUUUUAUUCUCAGUGAUAUUUGGAGUAGAAGGUAGUACCACAAACAAGCUUGGACUUUUCUUUUUAUGAGACCCUUAAGAAAUUUGCAUUGCUUCCAAACUUGCUUUGUAGCCCUGAUAACCUGGAUCAUACAAAGAACACAGCUUCUGGAAGUGAACCAGCAGCUAGAGGUCACUCAACAAGUGAGGAAGACACAAGUUUGAUACCCAGCACCACAUGAAACUAGGCAGACUCCUACAGUCUUGGUCACGAUAUCUUCUUCUUCCUUAUCCCAAUUGUGGUCCCACAGUAUGGCUCCUAUUGCUUGAAGGAAUAAAUUAACCUUAAGAGAC